rnacentral:tRNA from 1 species
GCCGGUGUGGCGGAACUGGCAUACGCUAUCGACUCAAAAUCGAUCGCCCUUACGGGAUUGUGGGUUCGACUCCCACCACCGGCACCA